rnacentral:rRNA from 1 species
UGGGGGAAUUUUGGACAAUGGGCGAAAGCCUGAUCCAGCAAUGCCGCGUGUGUGAAGAAGGCCUUCGGGUUGUAAAGCACUUUUGUCCGGAAAGAAAUCCUUGGCUCUAAUACAGUCGGGGGAUGACGGUACCGGAAGAAUAAGCACCGGCUAACUACGUGCCAGCAGCCGCGGUAAUACGUAGGGUGCAAGCGUUAAUCGGAAUUACUGGGCGUAAAGCGUGCGCAGGCGGUUUGCUAAGACCGAUGUGAAAUCCCCGGGCUCAACCUGGGAACUGCAUUGGUGACUGGCAGGCUAGAGUAUGGCAGAGGGGGGUAGAAUUCCACGUGUAGCAGUGAAAUGCGUAGAGAUGUGGAGGAAUACCGAUGGCGAAGGCAGCCCCCUGGGCCAAUACUGACGCUCAUGCACGAAAGCGUGGGGGAGCAAAACAGGAUUAGAUACUCUGGUAGUCCACGCCCUAAACGAUGUCAACUAGUUGUUGGGGAUUCAUUUCCUUAGUAACGUAGCUAACGCGUGAAGUUGACCGCCUGGGGAGUACGGUCGCAAGAUUAAAACUUAAAUGAAUUGACGGGGUCAUAGCUGUUU